rnacentral:tRNA from 1 species
GGUUUUAUAUUCAUUAAAUGAUGUUAGAAUGCAAAUCUGAUGGUGUAUUAAAAUACUAAGACUU